AAAGAUUGCAGUUUUAAGUUUUUAGGUUGAACGUUUGAUCGUCUAUUUUAUUUGAAUUUUAUUAUAAGUAAUUUUACUAUUAUUAGAUGAUAAAAUAUGAAUAGUACUUUAUACGUGUUUAUUUUUUAAAUUUUUUAAAUAAGAUGGAUGAUCAAAACAUUUAAAGGAAAAUCCAUAACUGAAACGGAC
rnacentral:pre_miRNA from 1 species